rnacentral:rRNA from 1 species
AGUGAACGCUGGCGGUAGGCCUAACACAUGCAAGUCGAACGGCCGCACAGUAAGCUUUCGCCCUUACGGUUGGCGAGUGGCGGAUGGGUGACGCAUAGAUCGGCUUCUACUUUUUCUUGGGUGACUACGUAGGGCAACUUAUGCUACCACCGCAUAUGUUCUACCGGAUAGAUCAAGAGUUCUUCGCGCUUUUGCCGAUUGUAUUAGCUGGUGUCGGAUUAGCUAGUUGGCUGGGUAAAGUCCCACCAAGGCAACGAUACGUAGCUGAUCUGAGAGGGUGAUCGGCCACACUGGAACUGAGACACGGUCCAGACUCCUACGGGAGGCAGCAGUAGGGAAUAUUGGGCAAUGGGCGAAAGCCUGAUGGAGCAAUGCCGCGUGAGUGAAGAAGGUCUUCGGGUUGUAAAGCCCUUUUAUUGGGAAAGAAAAGCAGCAGAAGAAUCCACGGCUGUUCUGACGGUACCCAAAGAGAAAGCCCCGGCUAACUUCGUG